rnacentral:lncRNA from 1 species
GUGGUAGCCGGUUAGUAACAGCUUCAUGGUAUAGUACUUGGUGGUAGCCGGCUAGUAACAGUCUCUAAGGUUCAGGGUAGAGUACUGGGUGGUAGCAGGCUAGUAACAGUGACUAAGAUUCAGGGUAGAGUACUGGGUGAUAGCCAGCUAGUAACAGGUUCAGGGUAGAGUACCGGGUGGUAGCCGGGUAGUAACACGUUCAGGGUAGAGUACUGGGUGAUAGCCAGCUAGUAACAGGUUCAGGGUAGAGUACCGGGUGGUAGCCGGGUAGUAACAGGUUCAGGGUAGAGUACCGGGUGGUAGCCGGCUAGUAACAGGUUCAGGGUAGAGUACCGAGUGGUAGCCAGCUGGUAACAGGUUCUGGGUAUAGUACCGGGUGGUAGCUGGUUAGUAACAGGUUCAGGGUAGAGUACCUUGUGGUAGCUGGCUAGUAACAGUCUCUAAGGUUCAGUGUAGAGUACCGGGUGGUAGCUGGCUAGAAACAGGUUCAGGGUAGAGUACUGGGUGGUAGCCAGCUAGUAACAGGUUCAGGGUAGAGUACCGGGUGGUAGCCAGCUAGUAACAGGUUCAGGGUAGAGUACCGGGUGGUAGCCAGCUAGUAACAGGUUCAGGGUAGAGUACCGGGUGGUAGCCGGCUAGUAACAG